rnacentral:misc_RNA from 1 species
UCGAAUCGCAUCGGGUGCG